rnacentral:rRNA from 1 species
GACCAGACUCCUACGGGAGGCAGCAGUGAGGAAUAUUGGUCAAUGGGCUUACGCCUGAACCAGCCAAGUCGCGUGAGGGAAGACUGCCCUAUGGGUUGUAAACCUCUUUUGUCAGGGAGCAAUUGGCGCUACGUGUAGCGUUAUCGAGAGUACCUGAAGAAAAAGCAUCGGCUAACUCCGUGCCAGCAGCCGCGGUAAUACGGAGGAUGCGAGCGUUAUCCGGAUUUAUUGGGUUUAAAGGGUGCGUAGGCGGGCUUUUAAGUCAGCGGUAAAAAUUCGGGGCUCAACCCCGUCCGGCCGUUGAAACUGGGGAUCUUGAGUGGGCGAGAAGUAUGCGGAAUGCGUGGUGUAGCGGUGAAAUGCAUAGAUAUCACGCAGAACUCCGAUUGCGAAGGCAGCAUACCGGCGCCCGACUGACGCUGAGGCACGAAAGCGUGGGGAUCGAACAGGAUUAGAUACCCUCGUAGUA